rnacentral:rRNA from 1 species
GGCUCAGGACGAACGCUGGCGGCGUGCCUAAUACAUGCAAGUCGAACGGUCUUUUCUAUGGAAGCUUGCUUCCACCGAGAAGAUAGUGGCGAACGGGUGAGUAACACGUGGGUAACCUGCCCAUAAGAGGGGGAUAACAUCCGGAAACGGGUGCUAAUACCGCAUAGUUCUCUUGAUCGCAUGAUUGAGAAAGGAAAGACGGCCUUUGUGCUGUCGCUUAUGGAUGGACCCGCGGCGUAUUAGUUAGUUGGUGAGGUAACGGCUCACCAAGACGAUGAUACGUAGCCGACCUGAGAGGGUGAUCGGCCACAUUGGGACUGAGACACGGCCCAAACUCCUACGGGAGGCAGCAGUAGGGAAUCUUCCGCAAUGGACGAAAGUCUGACGGAGCAACGCCGCGUGAGUGAAAGAAGGUUUUCGGAUCGUAAAACUCUGUUGUCAGAGAAGAACAAGUUGGAGAGUAACUGCUCCAGCCUUGACGGUAUCUGACCAGAAAGCCACGGCUAACUACGUGCCAGCCGCCGC